rnacentral:rRNA from 1 species
AGAGUUUGAUCCUGGCUCAGGACGAACGCUGGCGGCGUGCCUAACACAUGCAAGUCGAACGAAGCUUGACGAAUGAUUUCUUCGGAAUGAAAUCUGAUAUGACUGAGUGGCGGACGGGUGAGUAACGCGUGAGCAACCUGCCCUUCGGAACGGGAUAGUGUCUGGAAACGGACAGUAAUACCGUAUAACGUAUUUUUAUCGCAUGAUAGAAAUACCAAAACUGAGGUGCCGAAGGAUGGGCUCGCGUCUGAUUAGAUAGUUGGUGGGGUAACGGCCUACCAAGUCGACGAUCAGUAGCCGGACUGAGAGGUUGAACGGCCACAUUGGGACUGAGACACGGCCCAGACUCCUACGGGAGGCAGCAGUGGGGAAUAUUGCACAAUGGGGGAAACCCUGAUGCAGCAACGCCGCGUGAAGGAAGACGGUUUUCGGAUUGUAAACUUCUGUUCUUAGUGAAGAAUAAUGACGGUAGCUAAGGAGCAAGCCACGGCUAACUACGUGCCAGCAGCCGCGGUAAUACGUAGGUGGCAAGCGUUGUCCGGAAUUACUGGGUGUAAAGGGAGCGUAGGCGGGAUGCCAAGUCAGCUGUGAAAACUAUGGGCUUAACCUGUAGACUGCAGUUGAAACUGGUAUUCUUGAGUGAAGUAGAGGUUGGCGGAAUUCCGAGUGUAGCGGUGAAAUGCGUAGAUAUUCGGAGGAACACCGGUGGCGAAGGCGGCCAACUGGGCUUUAACUGACGCUGAGGCUCGAAAGUGUGGGGAGCAAACAGGAUUAGAUACCCUGGUAGUCCACACUGUAAACGAUGAUAACUAGGUGUGGGGGGGUCUGACCCCUUCCGUGCCGCAGCUAACGCAAUAAGUUAUCCACCUGGGGAGUACGACCGCAAGGUUGAACUCAAAGGAAUUGACGGGGACCCCCCAAGCAGUGGAUUAUGUGGGUUUAAUUCGAAACAACGCGAAGAACCUUACCAGCCUUUGAAUCCGACUAACGAAGUAGAGAUACUUUAGUGCCUCUCCGGGAAAUCAAACAAGGGGGGGCAGGGUUGCGUCCACUCCGGCCGUGGAGAUUUGGGUUAAGUCCCCCACAAAGCGACCCCCCGCCUUUAUUGUUUCCCAAGACCUCUUAUGGGCCGUCCCCCAAGGGGAGGGAAAGGUGGGGGAACCCAAAUAAUAUGCCCUUUUGUGGGGUCCACCGUAAAAAUGGCUUCCAAAAGAGAAGCAAUACCGCGAGGUGGAGCAAAACUUCAAAAAUGGUCUCAGUUCGGACUGCAGGCUGCAACCCGCCUGCACGAAGUUGGAAUUGCUAGUAAUCGUGGAUCAGCAUGCCACGGUGAAUACGUUCCCGGGUCUUGUACACACCGCCCGUC